UUGACUUUUUCCUAGUUAAACUUUUUUAAGUUUGACCAAGUUUAUAGAAAAACAUAGUUGCAUUUCCAACACAAAAUAAACAUAUUAUCAAAAUAUAUUCAAUCUUAGAUUUAAUGAAACAAAUUUAGUGUUAUAGAUGUUACUAAAUUUCUCUAUAAACUUGGUCAAACAUGAAAAAGUUUGACUAGGAAAAAAAUUCA
rnacentral:pre_miRNA from 1 species